UAGGGAAUCUUCCGCAAUGGACGCAAGUCUGACGGAGCAACGCCGCGUGAGUGAAGAAGGAUUCCGGUUCGUAAAACUCUGUUGUUAGAGAAGAACAGCGCAUAGAGUAACUGUUAUGCGUGUGACGGUAUCUAACCAGAAAGCCACGGCUAACUACGUGCCAGCAGCCGCGGUAAUACGUAGGUGGCAAGCGUUGUCCGGAUUUAUUGGGCGUAAAGCGAGCGCAGGCGGUCAAUUAAGUCUGAUGUGAAAGCCCCCGGCUCAACCGGGGAGGGUCAUUGGAAACUGGUUGACUUGAGUGCAGAAGAGGAGAGUGGAAUUCCAUGUGUAGCGGUGAAAUGCGCAGAGAUAUGGAGGAACACCAGUGGCGAAGGCGACUUUCUGGUCUGUAACUGACGCUGAUGUGAGAAAGCGUGGGGAUCAAACAGG
rnacentral:rRNA from 1 species